CCCAAACAUGGGGAGCGAGGCAGAAAACAUAAGGACAUGUUUUUGCUCAUCUCCCAAAGAAAUGUCAAAAAUGCUCAGUGUCAAAACAGGUAAUGUUGACUCGGCUCCAACAUCACCUGCUGGACCUGACAUGGUGGAAUCAUCAGAGACCAGGAGAUGUUGAGUGGAAACACAGACGUUGUUGUCGUGCUCAGUGUUCGCUGCUGUUUCACAAAACAAUGUUUUCUAACAUGGAAAGGCUUUUUCUUGGAAAACAUUGAAUGAUUUGUUAUUGUCCUAACGUCUGGUUAUGUUUGGCUAACGCUUUGAUUCAUCUUAUCUAAUGGGUACAUUUUUUGUUUUAAUGUAUUAGUUGGCCCAACACUUCUGGCCUUUUUCUCCCAGCCUUUUCUAUACGACUUUUCUAUACAAGGUUUAGACCUUAAACGAUCAUUAAACUAUAAACCGUUUUGAGGAUUGCAGACAUUUCAAGGCCGUUUCACUCGGGGCCCGUGGUAAUUUCAAACCCCGAAAUCAGACUAUCCCACAAGAAUCUGCUCCGAUGCUAUCGAUGCGUGGCUGCACAUGGGAAAAGAUAAAGGCACAGACAAGCGCUUGUGCAACUCGCGUCUCAGCGCUCCACUGCUCUGACCUCCUGCUCCUUCCUCCUCUCGUCUCCUCUCUCUCCCAUACCAACGGAGAAUGGCUGGUUUGAACCAGACGAGGAGGAAUUUCAGCGCAGAAGCCAAAAAAAUCAGAGACUGCAGCGGAGAUCACAUUGCGUGUGGAUGUAGUUUUUGAACUUCCACCGACGGCCAGAUUUCUCUGGGUUGGCUAACAGUUAGGGUUCAUCCAACUGGGAGUUGACAAAACAGAGGAUUCUUCUCUGAUGAAGUCAGCUUCAACUGCACCAUAUUUUAUUUCCCAAUUGCAAAAAUCCAUUAUUUUGUCUGACAAAAAGGCAAAUGUAUAACAAUGUAGCAAAGUUAGGGAUGGCAGAAAAGUACAUGUGGGUGGUGCUGGUUUUUUUUUUUUCAUUUCACUGCAACAAUUGCUAAUAAAGCUGGUUUGUAUGUUGGAGGUUGUUGGUGAUAAUUUGAUAGUUAUACUUGUAUGGUCAUUAGAACAAUUUAAAUGACAAAUUAUUGUUUUGUUUUUUAAAUAAUAACUGUUUUUUUUUUUUGCAUAGGAAAGGAGAAGCUGUGAAUCCAACAACAAAUUUGGACCUUACUGACCAACGACUGACAAGUUUGGACUUUACCGCACGGAAAACAGACCGACUCCCUGCGUAUUCACGAUGCCUUCGUUUCAACUUCCUGUCAUUACCUGCUGUUUCCGUACCGUCAGGAGGUGGAGUCCAGGUGAAGUGAGCGUUGCCGACAAGGACAAUAUCAACAAGCUGCUCACAGCUGCGGCGCUCAGAAGAUAAACGUGGAGUGAGUGCAGUACAGGAGGGACAGUUUAUCAAGGGUUGAAGGAGCAACAGCAGUCGUGAUACAGAGGCGGUGGUGAAGACGGAGGAGGGAGGCGAGAAGAGAGAACAGAGCCACCGUGGAAGAAUGUAGGCGAAGGAGGACGGACGGUGAGAUAACAGAGGUGAUGGUGGGACGAGGAGUCGGGAGGAGAUGCUCAAUGUCCUCCAUUGUGGACUGAGUGGGAGGUUGACAACGAGGAGAUGGAUCUAAUUCCCUCUGACAUCGGGAGGAAGUUGCACUGCACCUUUUUAGUCUUUUAUAGAAGUAUUCUCCCUAACUAGCCACGCUGCGUGAUUUUGGACUGUAGAGCCGUCACUGUCUCACCAGUUAUCGACCUACUUUGAGACAAUGACGGCAUCUAUAAAAAAAAAAAUUGUUUUGAAAACUUUGUUUCAAACACAUUUUUUUUUUUUUACAAAGUUGUUUAAUGAUGUGGCUCCUGACACGGAGAGUUGUGUCCUGAUAAGUCACUGAUGUAAUCUGUGUAUCUGUAUGUUUAAAGAAGAAAUAUAUAUAUAUAUAAUAAUACAUUUGGUCCAUGUGAAAAAUUAUUUCCUCACAAUAUAAUACAGACUAUCAUUUAACAGGAAAUAUGAUUUAUGGGCCUUAUUGUUGCUGUGAAUACUUUUCAAAAAAGUAUUCUCUACAAAGUAUUUAUGUAUGAAUAACUUAUUUAUUUUUAUAGAUAUAUUUAGUUUGUGGUUUUGUAAUAAAGUAGAAUGUUAAAAUCAGAUAUUUUUCACUAAUUGGGACUGAAUUUAUUAUUUAAAAAAACAAAACAAUUUAGUCACAAACUCUAAUUUCGAAGUGUUUUUUGUAUAUUUAUUUAUUUUUUCCGCAAAAGUCAGAGUAUAACAAGGUGUAACCAUGGUUUCAUUUGAGCCGCAUCGCGUUGCACAAUGCUUGUAUCUGUUGGUUAUCCUGGCUGAACGGAAGUUUGCUUCUUCUUUCUUCUUUAUAAUACAAUAUCCUUAUCAAUCACACGGCCUCUUCGGCCAUAGCAAGAACCGGAAGUAGAAGAAGUAGGCUCCAUCUUAUUGUCUUUAACACAAAAAUGUAGGACGUAAAACCCCACCAGGAAGUACGAAUCCCAUCGAUGAUUCUGUGUGCAAUUCCGAGGUCUGUUAGAGGACCUGCCAUGACGUGAUCGCGCUUUGUUGUUCCUGACGCGGCUACGCGCAAACAAUUAAGCCCAUCUGCGCGGAUUUGGAAAAUGUUUAGCCGCGUUAGCUCCGUUAGCCCCGUUACCUAAAAUAUUGUUAUUCCAUGAUCAAUGCAAUUCCCAAGGAUCGCGACGGUUUAGAGUAUGCCCUUAACUUUCCCUCAAUAGGAAAAAAAUGACAGAAGGACAAGAAAGCUUGCCGAAGUUUUUUAAACUUCCGGAAUUGGAAGCCAGAGGCUCCGGACAAAUAUGCUAAGCAUUCCGGUAGGAACAGAUCUAUGUUAUUCUUUGCUGUGUUUGUGUUGAUUAUUAGUUAUUAAGGUGGCUAAUUUUGCAUUUACAUAUAUAUGUAUGUGUGUGUAGCCUAUUAUGGGUUUUAAUGUACAUAAUCAAACGGCAAGGCCGACAGGUACGUAGCCUAAGAAAGUUGUUGUUGUGGUACACGGUCAUGGUCACAUUUAAUAGAUAAAUUAAUAUUCAUUGCGGAUUGUGAAAACGAUAAGAUUGAGGUUUUGUCACAAUUACGUUGUUCUCAGGUCAAUAUUUAAAACAAUGUAAACAAAUACUGCUGGAUGUGCUCAGUACUAUUUAAUCAGAGUAGCUAGAACCGCACCCUUUUUGAGUCACUGGUGUUCUGAAG